GUAGGGAAUCUUCCACAAUGGGCGCAAGCCUGAUGGAGCAACACCGCGUGAGUGAAGAAGGGUUUCGGCUCGUAAAGCUCUGUUUGUUAAAGAAGAACACGUUUGAGAGUAACUGUUCAUACGUUGACGGUAUUUAACCAGAAAGUCACGGCUAACUACGUGCCAG
rnacentral:rRNA from 1 species